rnacentral:rRNA from 1 species
UACGAAGGGGGCUAGCGUUGUUCGGAAUUACUGGGCGUAAAGCGCACGUAGGCGGAUCAUUUAGUCAGGGGUGAAAUCCCGGGGCUCAACCUCGGAACUGCCUUUGAUACUGAUGGUCUCGAGUCCGGAAGAGGUGAGUGGAAUUCCUAGUGUAGAGGUGAAAUUCGUAGAUAUUAGGAAGAACACCAGUGGCGAAGGCGGCUCACUGGUCCGGUACUGACGCUGAGGUGCGAAAGCGUGGGGAGCAAACAGGG